rnacentral:tRNA from 1 species
GAGGGUAUAGCUCAGUGGUAGAGCGUGUGCUUAGCAUGCAGGAGGUCCUGGGUUCAAUCCCCAGUACCUCA